rnacentral:rRNA from 1 species
AACGUAGGAGACAAACGUUAUCCGGAUUUACUGGGCGUAAAGGGCGUGUAGGUGGCCAUGUAGGUCCGCUGUGAAAACUUGAGGCUCAACCUCAAGCUGUCGGUGGAAACCACAUGGCUAGAGUCCGGAAGAGGAGAGUGGAAUUCCUGGUGUAGCGGUGAAAUGCGCAGAUAUCAGGAAGAACACCAAUGGCGAAGGCAGCUCUCUGGGACGGUACUGACACUGAGACGCGAAAGCGUGGGGAGCGAACAGG